UUGGGCUGAGGUUUUCUUCUACAUGGCAGAGAACAAUGUCAUGUUUGAGGGUAUUCUUCUCAAGCCUAGUAUGGUCACUCCUGGUGCUGAAUGCAAGGACAGGGCCACCCCUGAACAAGUUGCUGAGUACACACUCAAGCUCCUUCAGAGGAGAAUCCCCCCAUCCGUCCCUGGAAUCAUGGCAAGUUGCAUUUCAACUUUCAUUCACAGUUUUACUUCUUUUUUUGCAUGAAGUGUUAAAAUUUCGGCUUAUCAAGAUUAACAUGCUUUAGGCAGGACGGCUUCUUUAGCAAUAAUAGUGAAACAUGUACUGAUCAUGGAUUAUUUUUUGAGCAGUUUUUGUCUGGUGGGCAAUCCGAGGUUGAAGCAACCCUGAACCUCAACGCAAUGAACCAGUCUGCAAACCCAUGGCACGUGUCUUUCUCAUAUGCUAGAGCUCUCCAGAACACUUGCUUGAAGACAUGGGGAGGCAGGCCAGAGAACGUGAAUGCAGCUCAGGAAGCACUUCUCAUCCGUGCCAAGGCCAACUCUCUUGCUCAGCUUGGCAAGUACACCGGUGAGGGAGAGUCAGAUGAAGCCAAGAAAGGAAUGUUCGUCAAGAACUACGCCUACUAAGCUCUGUUGUGAUUGAAAUCUAUAGAUGAAGAAGAU
rnacentral:lncRNA from 1 species